rnacentral:lncRNA from 1 species
AUGGUGGCUCAUUUGGUGCCUGGGCUAAAAAGGAAAAUAUUGUUUCCUUGUGCUAGUUUUUUAAUGAGAUUCAAAAUUAUGUUGCACAUGACUCAUGUGAUUUAUUUACCCACAGGGCAGUGGGACAACUCUGUUGAGAAAACCCUUGGAGAAACUAAUAAGGAGCAUCUUAUCUGCAGUAAAAACUCUGAAGUAGAUGGCGACACUGAAGAUUCAUUUGCUGAACGUCUUGGCUAUGAGAUAGUUAGUGUGAAUGAGGCGCAGGACAAUGUAACUGGGUCACAGAACAGGCCUGAAAAGAAACCUCAUGCAGAACCUGAUGAUGAAGACCACGCUGAGACAACCUGUGAUGAAGAUGAGGACUUUGUGAAUGUGGAAAAACCCUGGAGAACAUUUUUUGUCGUCUCUGCUGGAAAAACCAACGGAGCUCAUCGUGACUUUGUGAAGAAGCUUGAAGCCGUCGGUCAAACUGAGGCGUCGUCUCCUGAAGGAUGUGACUACGUCGUGUGUUUCUGUCCUGUGGCUUCACGAGUUGGAACAGACGUCAGUGAGGCUCUAGACAGAAUCCCUGGUAAGAACUGACUGAUCAGUUUCACACUGGUUGCUCGGGUGUUUGAUACAUUAAAUUAGUCUUUAGACUGUAAUCAGUGUGGUAGCUCAGCGGGUUGGACAUCGUCCAGGGAAACAAACAUCCAGGUUUGCUUCCCUUGUACCCUUGAGCAAGGUACCUCUCACUAGCUCUGUGUGGCGGCUCACUGCUGUGGCACUAAUAAAACCAUUCUUAUUCUUAUGAAGUUUACUUUU